UCGAACAGGCCAAGCCUGUCUGAAAGCUGGGAGGAAAGUCUCCUCCCAGCCAACUGACCCUGCCUUCGUGCCUGUAACCCAAGGCUGAGCACCGAGUUGCCAAAGCUCCUUUUGUUUCCCGUAAGGGAUGGCCUCUCCACUUCAAGAUUCAUUUGAGCCUGAAUUUGAUGGUAGCUCUGAAGAAUAUUCCUGAAUUUGGCCCCUUUCUGGUUUUUUUCUCCUCCUCUACUACUACACACCAGUGGUGGUGCCAAGGUUUGAACCCAGAACUUCCUAGGU